GGAUUAGAUACCCGGGUAGUCCACGCCGUAAACGGUGGGUGCUAGGUGUGAGCGGUAUUCCACGCCGUUCGUGCCGCAGCUAACGCAUUAAGCACCCCGCCUGGGGAGUACGGCCGCAAGGCUAAAACUCAAAGGAAUUGACGGGGGCCCGCACAAGCAGCGGAGCAUGUGGCUUAAUUCGACGCAACGCGAAGAACCUUACCAAGGCUUGACAUGCAGGGAAAUCUCGUAGAGAUACGGGGUCCGCAAGGGCCCUGCACAGGUGGUGCAUGGUUGUCGUCAGCUCGUGUCGUGAGAUGUUGGGUUAAGUCCCGCAACGAGCG
rnacentral:rRNA from 1 species